CUCCCAUGCGCGGUUCCACGAUUGGCCACCAACCACACCAGCGUCCGCGGGGCCCUGGAGUAUAGUGGAGUUCAGGGAUGCCUUGUGACUAACGGCAGGAUUCUGGGGGCUAUAGGAGUCCUGCCGUCUCCACGGUGACUCCUGGUUAAAAAGGGGUGGCAGGGAACCACUUGGGGAAGACUCAUAGCCUAGAGACACCCUCCGAACUCCCGGGGCCAGCGGAGGAAUGACCGAGGAGUGUGUCAUCUCCCCAGUGCGGAUGACGGGCCUUACCUCUGCAGAGGGCCUGUGGGUGGGGUUUGCACCACUUCGGGCUGAGGCCUGGGAUGGUUGUCUUUGCACAUACUGUAAGGGCCUAACCCUGGCCACAGAACUUUCUAGCAGUUCUGGAACAAUCCUACCAUGCACGGAUCUGUAGGAAUUUUUAGGGCCCAUGGCGUCCCAGCGGCUGCUCGGAGCCAUGUUUCCAGACACUGUUUUCUGGAGUGGAUUGGGGACAGCUUCUGUCUGGAAGGGACUGGACAAUGCCCUUCUAGCCGAGGACGGAUAUAGUGGCACAUGUGAGACCAUGCUGGUGGUCCCUGACCUCUGAAGAAGACUAGGAUUCCCCAUCCUGCCCACAGACACUGAAAGCAAUCUGAAAGCCUCAGUACUGCCACGGGCCAGCUGGGGUGAUCCUGAGACUACAUUAGAAGCCACUGUACCCUGAGAGUGAUUUGGGGGUAUGACGUGAGUGACAGACCCCUGUUGAUAAACUGAGGGGGACUUAGUGGCUAAACCCGGGGCCUGGAAAGGGACAGGGACCAUGCCACUAGCAUGGCUGGGAGCCACCUCCCUUGGGGAAGAGACCCUUUCUCAGACAGGGACCUAUGAUCAUGGCCCCCAUCAGCUCCCAGAGGACUGGAGUACAUCCACUGGGUUGCACCAGUGACCCUGGCUUUGCUGAAUAGGUCAUUGGAUCCACUUGAUCCUGACACUUGGAACACAGCCUCAUCCAAUUCUCCUAGCUUGGCUUGGUCCCCUGUGACCCCAGAUGGCAUUAUCCUAGCAUCUUGGCUCAAUUGUAAGGCUCUUGAUAGAACCGUGGGCACUCGGUGUAGACUCCUCACUGUGCCACUAGCUGCCGGGGCUGAGGAGUGACCUGGAGCCAGACUGGUGGUGUGGGGCAUCUGCAAGGGGGCUAAAGACCUCUCCCCAGCCAGGCUUUGAGGUAAGGAGGGGCAGUGAUGUCAAUCACCAUGGGCCCCUUGGAGCAGCUCUGAGCCACACUAGAGGCCCCCAUCAUUGGCACAGAACCAGGGGGACAACUGGGCUCACCCGACUCACUACUGAACCUGGGAGCAAGUUUGGAGCAGCUAAGCUAGCGGAGGGUCUUACAGAUAGACUUGGCUUCUUUCUGUCUGCCAUCAGACUGGGAGCCACCCAACUGGACACAGAGCCUGCGGGAAGGCUGUGACCCAUGCCUCGGAUGGUGGAGCCCGGGGGAAGGCUGGAGGUUAUGCCACCAGGCAGAGUGCCUGGGACUGCGCCCGUGCUCAUUCUACUGGCUACAAAACCUCCUGCCGCACCACGACCAGCCCUGCUCUUCAGAGAGUCCUGCGGAAUCACAUCUCUCUGCUGGUAACUGGGUGGGACCAUGGAUGCCUCAGAAGGGUGCCAGCAGUCUAUGUUUUUUGGAAUAACCACACUGAUCUGGGAGCUGCUGGGGUCCAUGCUGUUCAGGGAAAGAUUAGACUGAGUCACGGCCAGUCUGUUGGGCACUGAAGCCAGAGAGGGGCUGGGGGCCAUCCCUGUGGUUCCAGAGGGAUGUGUCAAAGGGCCACCUGCCUCUAAGACCUGGGAUGCAAGGGAAGCCAUGCCAUUGGCCACCUGACAUUGACUUUGGCCCAUGCCAGUUGCUAUGGUUCUCCAGGGGAGAUUCCCAGCUAGGCCAGGAGAUGUGGUCCCCUGAGACCCACUGGGGAACAUAGCAUCAGCCAAAGGCUCCUGGGGAUGGCUUACAGCCACACCCCUGAACAGAGGCGUGAUUCACUGGCCUACACAACAGGCCUCCUCAUCAGCAUGAGAGAGAUUUGGUGUUGAAACACUAACCACAGAGGGUGGACACACAUGCCUCCCACCAACCCUGGGUGGAUGAUGGAACCCAAGGGACACGUCGUUGAACUUGAAGUCCGGGGGGCUGGAUACCAUCUCACUAACCAUCAGAGGUUCUUCACAUAGGUUCACCCCAGUACCCAGGGAUGGCUGGUUCAGACCCUGGUCCAUAUUUCCAGCCACAGAGGGAUAUGGUCCACCCAGGCUAACUGAAACAAACGCUGAUGGGUGACACAGACACGGGGCUACUGAGUCCACCCUUGAACACUGCAGAUUUGAAUCCAGCCUAGAGCCCCAGCAUGGCUCAUUGAGGCCAUGACAUGUACCACUGACCACAGAUGGCUGGGAUCGGCUUGGGGCCAACCUAGUGUCCGGGGGUGACUGAGCCAGGCUUAGGGCUUCCGUGUGGGCCACAGAUGGUGGGAAUAGGCUGGGGGCUAUAGCUGGCUCGGCUAGGCUGGAGGCUAGGGUACAGGAUGAAUUUGUCUUGCCUGGACUGGAGGCCACAGAUGGUUGGGCUUGCCUUGGGGAUACUGCAGUGGUCUGAGAUGGGUGGGCUAGGCUGGAGCCCGCCCCACUGGCCACAUAUGGGUGAGCUAGACUUGGAGACAACCCAUGGGGUCCUGAUGGGUGGGCUAGGCUUGGGGACACACCAAUGGCUUGAGAUGGCUGGGCUGGGCUUGAGGAAACCCUACUGGCCACAGAUUGGUGGGCUACACUUGGGGACACCCCAGUGGCCUGAGAUGGCCAGGUCAAGCUUGGGGAUUCCCCAGUGGACUGAGGAGGCUGGGCCAGGCUUGGAGACUCCCGAAUGGCCAUAGAUGGGUGAGCUAGGGUUGGGGACACUCCAAUGGUGUGAAAUGGCAUGGCUAGGCUUGGGGACACUCCAAUGGUCUGAGAUGGCAUGGCUAGGCUUGGGGACACUCCAAUAGUCUGAGAUGACAUGGCUAGGCUUGGGGACACUCUGAUGGUCAGAGAUGGCUGGGUCAGGCUUGGAGACUCCCCAGUGGGCUGAGAUGGGUAGGCUGGGCUUGGGGACUCCCCAGUGACCACAGAUGGGUAGGCUGAGCUUGGGGACACCUCAGUGGGCUGAGAUGGCUGGGCAAGGCUAGGGGACUCCCCAGUGGCCACACAUGGAUAGUCUGGGCUUGGGGACACCUCAGUGGGCUGAAAUGGGUAGCCUGGGCUUGGGGACACCUCAGUGGCCAUAGAUAGGUAGCCUGAGCUUGGGGACAUCUCAGUAGGCUGAGAUGAGUAGUCUGGGCUUGGGGACACUUCAGUGGCCACAGAUAGGUAGCCUGAGCUUGGGGACACCUCAGUGAGCUGAGAUGGGUAGCCUGGGCUUGGGGACACCUCAGUGGCCACAGAUAGGUAGCCUGAGCUUGGGGAUAUCUCAGUGGGCUGAUAUGGGUAGGUUGGGCUUGGGGACACCUCAGUGGCCACAGAUGGGUAUUCUGGGCUUGGGGACAUCUCAAUGGCCAUAGAUAGGUAGCCUGGGUUUGGGGACACCUCAGUGGGCUGAUAUGAGUAGGCUGCACUUGGGGACACCUCAGUGAGCUGAUAUGGGUGGGCUGGGCUUGGAGAUACCUCAGUGGGCUGAAAUGGCUGUGCCAGGGUUGGGUACUCCCUAAUGGCCUGAGAUGGGUAGGUUGGACUUGGGGACACCUCAGUGGGCUGAAAUGGCUGAGCCAGCAUUGGGUACUCCCCAACAGACUGAGAUGGGUAGUCUGGACUUGGAGACACCCCAAAGGCUUGAGAUGGCUGGGCCAGAUUUGAGGUUACCCCAGGGGCUUGAGAUGGCUGGGCUAGGCUUGAGGGCUCCCCACUGUCCAUAGAUGGCUGGGCUAGGUUUUGGGACCCCCAGUUAGCCAUUGAUUGGUGACCUUGGUCUGAGGCCACUCUAAAGGUCCUUGAUGGGUGUCCUCGGCUUGGGGACCUCCUAGUCACCACAGAUGGCUGUGCUGGUCUUGGUGUCACUCUAUUAGGCACAGAGGAGUGUGGUAGCCUUGGGGUCACCCAAUUACCCAUAGAUGGGCAGGUUAGCCUUGGGGAUACCUUACUGGAUGCUAUAUGCUGGGAUAGGCUUGGGGCCAGCCUACUGAACCCUGAUGCCUGGCCUAGGUUUGGGGCUACCCUACUGGCCAGUGUAGCCUGGGACACAAUUGGGGCCAAGCUCUUGGCCACAGAUGGUGGCUUAUAUGCAGUGGAGACCACAGUACCUAAAGACAGAGUCCUCCUCAGCUCUGUCUUGACGGUUGCCUGGGACACCUCAAUCAGAUUCACAGAGCUCUUGCCUAAGGAGAACUUGUGGAUCUCAGCCUCUGAGCCCCAGUGAACACGCAAGGUCAAGCAGUUAGACACUGAGCUGUGUUGGAAACUGGGCACUUUCUCCGAGGCUGGAGUGGGCCGGUAGGGGAAGUGUAGGGUCAUGUACCUAUAGCCGGUUUCAGUCUCUUGCGUAUCCUUAAACCUCUGGAGUGUCCCCAUGGACUCCGGAGGAAAAACAGACUUCACCGCAAGGUCCCCUUCUAAACUGCUUUCCCGUGACUCAUCUAUCUUGUUGACGGCAGGCAGGCUGGCCACAGACAUAGUGGAAAGGCUGAGGGAACUAGAACUUUGCAGAGAGCUUUCGGAAUUGUUCUCCUGACUGUAGGUCACAAAGCCCUGGGAGAAGCUCCUGGCCAGGUCACCGUCUCGAUCCUGUGGCAAACCACCUACUGGCUCACCGAGGAUGGAUGGCUGGUGGUCUGUUGCUAGCUUCUGGGGGCAGAGCAGGGCAGACACAGAACCCUGUGUUCGAUUCCUCCCCUGUCCACAGACAGAUGUCUUGGGACGAACUUGAGCCAAUGCACUGCCGGGGGAAGCUUGAAACAGACCAUGAGUCUUGGAUGCCUGAGUUUUGGUCACCAUGGUGACCUGCAAGGGACUUGGGGCCCCCUUGUCUAUCACCUCCCUAGUACCCGGGGGGGCCUGUUUGCGAUUUGGGGGCUGAUACCUCCUCCCCAGGCUCUCCCUGGAAGCCCUGGAUGCCUGCUGCUGGCCUCUGGCCACUAAGGGUUGGUAGAGACCACGAUGUACCCCUGAGGACUGACACCAAGGCAGGCCCCCACAGGUGAGGUAAGGCUGGUGAACAUGGGCAGCCCUCCCACCACCCACGCUGCAAGGAAGCCUACCCGAGGCCACCCUGCCCUCCCUGGUCGAUAGAUAAGAGGCCACCCUGCUGACCACAUGUGGCCUGUGGCAGCUCGGGGCUGUGCCAUAGAUCACAGAGGGCUGGUUCAUGCUUGGGCCCACACAGUUGGCAAUGAGAGGCUGCCACAGACUCGGGGGUGGCUGCAUGUGGGACAGCUUGAGCAAACUGGGGCCCUCCCCACUCCCCUCGGGGUUAAAAUCUGAUGCCAAUGUGCCAGGCUCCAGGGUCGGGCAUGCUUCUUCCUUUUGGAACUUGGGGCUCAAAUCCAGGUUUGAGGAGAAGUCCCUGCUGGACUCCAUCAUCUCCCGGGACAGCAUGGGAUACAGGCCAGUGAUCAGGGGACCCUGGUGAAUGCUGGUGAUGACGCUACCCAUCACCGAGGCUCCCACAGUGACCACAGAUAAGCAGGGUGACCCCCACAAGAUGGCCCCAUCAAUCCCCCAUCUCCUCCAAGGGCCCGGCAGGUUGGCCCAUGGUGAAACAACCCCAGAUCCCAACCUGGGAAUCCCUGACCUUGCUGGUCUGUGGUCUCACGGGGCCCAGGGAGGGCCCCCAUGCGGCCGAUGGACUCCUCCUGCAGGCCACCUUCACCAGGGCCGGCGUCUUAG
rnacentral:lncRNA from 10 species